rnacentral:rRNA from 1 species
GGGAACAUACCCUUUUCUACGGAAUAGCUCUGGGAAACUGGAAUUAAUACCGUAUACGCCCUACGGGGGAAAGAUUUAUCGGGGAAGGAUUGGCCCGCGUUGGAUUAGCUAGUUGGUGGGGUAAAGGCCUACCAAGGCGACGAUCCAUAGCUGGUCUGAGAGGAUGAUCAGCCACAUUGGGACUGAGACACGGCCCAAACUCCUACGGGAGGCAGCAGUGGGGAAUAUUGGACAAUGGGCGCAAGCCUGAUCCAGCCAUGCCGCGUGAGUGAUGAAGGCCUUAGGGUUGUAAAGCUCUUUCACCGAUGAAGAUAAUGACGGUAGUCGGAGAAGAAGCCCCGGCUAACUUCGUGCCAGCAGCCGCGGUAAUACGAAGGGGGCUAGCGUUGUUCGGAUUUACUGGGCGUAAAGCGCACGUAGGCGGUUUGUUAAGUCAGGGGUGAAAUCCCGGAGCUCAACUCCGGAACUGCCUUCGAUACUGGCAAGCUAGAGUCCGGAAGAGGUAAGUGGAACUCCUAGU